rnacentral:rRNA from 1 species
CAUGCAAGUCGAACGAAGGUGCCCCUUCGGGGGUAUCCUUAGUGGCGGACGGGUGAGUAACGCGUGGGAACCUGCCCUAGUGUGGGGAAUAACUACGGGAAACUGUAGCUAAUACCGCAUACGCCCUACGGGGGAAAGGCUUCGGCCGCACCGGGAGGGGCCCGCGUCGGAUUAGCUUGUUGGUGGGGUAAUGGCCUACCAAGGCUGCGAUCCGUAACUGGUCUGAGAGGACGAUCAGUCACACUGGAACUGAGACACGGUCCAGACUCCUACGGGAGGCAGCAGUGGGGAAUUUUGCACAAUAGGGGAAACCCUGAUGCAGCGACGCCGCGUGGGUGAAGAAGGCCUUAGGGUUGUAAAACCCUUUCAGCAGGGAAGAUGAUGACGGUACCUGCAGAAGAAGCCCCGGCAAACUCCGUGCCAGCAGCCGCGGUAAUACGGAGGGGGCUAGCGUUGUUCGGAAUUACUGGGCGUAAAGCGCACGUAGGCGGUUUGGAAAGUUGGGUGUGAAAGCCCGGGGCUCAACCCCGGAACUGCACUCAAAACUUCCAGGCUUGAGGUCUGGAGAGGUGGGCGGAAUUCCGAGUGUAGAGGUGAAAUUCGUAGAUAUUCGGAAGAACACCGGUUGCGAAGGCGGCUCACUGGCCAGAGUCUGACG